CUUAGGCCCCACACACCUGUGCAGGCAAGUUGUUUACACUCUUCAGCGUAGACGGAUCGAAGCAAGAGGGUAGAUAGGUGGCUUCGAAAAUAUAUAACUUCAACAUGCUAACUUUUUGCUUAGUCAGCAGGCUUGGAAAAAGUUGUUGUUCAGAGCCAGCACUUCAGGCGGUUGCACUAGGGCGGAAUGGGUCGCUUUGCGGCUGUUCCUUUUCGUAGUCCAUUAGGCGCCAGCUGGGAGUCCCAGGAAUGCGGACAAAAUGUCUUGCUUAAAACUCGGUACAACUUAAGAAAAACAUCACACACAUUUUACAAAAAUAAAAGAUCAGUUGUAGUUGGCUCCACUUUCAGGACAUACAGAAGGUUCCAGGUUCAAUCUUCAUUUGGGGCUGGGAAAAACUCCAUGUGUGAAAUCCUGGAGAGCUGUUGCCAGUCAGUGUAGACAAUACUGAGCUACAUGGACCAAUUGUCUGACUCAAUAUAAGGCAGCUUGCUAUGUUCUUAUGUAAGGCAGCAAUGGAAACCAACUAUUGUAUGUUGCAUUAGUGGCCUAUCCAAGAUUCUGUUUUUGAAACACAUUGUUCCUAAGGUUUCCAUGUGGAGUGCAAGACUACCCUGUUUAGUUACAUGUUUAAUAAAGUUAUCUUACAUCAA